UUCGAACUUUCUUUCAGCAUAUCUACCUUUAUGAGUUGAUAAAUUGUGAUCCGUGAUUCCCGAACAGAGAUUCGUUCCAACGCAUUCCGAUUCACGAAUAUAUCAACUUAUCAAUGCAUUUUGAGUGGUCAGUCACACCCUAUAAAUAAAGACUGGUGGCGACUCCAUUUUUUCUCCUCUUAAGAAAAAAGUCGGCUGCUCUAUGUUGCAAACUCGUAGCGACUGUUUGGCGACUCCAUUGGGGACUUCAUAUUUUAAGCAGGUAAGACAGAAAUUGGAGUUGCUUACGACCGAAUUUGAAGGAUUUGUUCAGAAGUUGGCGUAACUAGGUCGCAUGAGAAUGCAGGGGCGAUUAGGGCCAACUCCGGAUCCGAAUCCUGGUUCGAAUCCUGGACUUAGGAGCGUUGUCUUUUCAGUUUGCGUAGAAAGAAAAGUGUUGUUACAAGUUUGAUUUUGAGAAGUUUACUGAGUUUUAUGAAAUGUAUAAUGUUGCUCCAGGUUUACUCGAGUUUUAUGGAAUUUAAAUGAGAAUGUUUAUUACUUCAGUUUUACGAAGUUUGUUUUAAGAACUGAAUUUUUAGUUGUUUAUGAAAGAAAGUUGACGAAGUUAUUUUCUUAUUAACUUACCACUCACUGAGCUUCCAAGCUCACUGUUUAUGUUUUGUUUUUCCCCUAGACUGUAUAUGAGUUUUUGAGUCACAAGGAGAAUUUAG